UACGAAGGGGGCUAGCGUUGCUCGGAAUGACUGGGCGUAAAGGGCGCGUAGGCGGCUUGCACCGUCAGACGUGAAAUCCCUCGGCUUAACCGGGGAACUGCGUCUGAUACUGGAUGGCUUGAGUUUGGGAGAGGGAUGCGGAAUUCCAGGUGUAGCGGUGAAAUGCGUAGAUAUCUGGAGGAACACCGGUGGCGAAGGCGGCAUCCUGGACCAACACUGACGCUGAGUGAGCGAAAGCCAGGGGAGCAAACGGG
rnacentral:rRNA from 1 species